rnacentral:rRNA from 1 species
GACGAACGCUGGCGGCGUGCUUAACACAUGCAAGUCGAACGAUGAACCACUUCGGUGGGGAUUAGUGGCGAACGGGUGAGUAACACGUGGGCAAUCUGCCCUGCACUCUGGGACAAGCCCUGGAAACGGGGUCUAAUACCGGAUAAUACUCCCGCACUCAUGUGUGGGGGUUAAAAGCUCCGGCGGUGCAGGAUGAGCCCGCGGCCUAUCAGCUUGUUGGUGAGGUAAUGGCUCACCAAGGCGACGACGGGUAGCCGGCCUGAGAGGGCGACCGGCCACACUGGGACUGAGACACGGCCCAGACUCCUACGGGAGGCAGCAGUGGGGAAUAUUGCACGAUGGGCGAAAGCCUGAUGCAGCGACGCCGCGUGAGGGAUGACGGCCU